UACGUAGGCAGCGAGCGUUGUUCGGAGUUACUGGGCGUAAAGGGUGUGUAGGCGGUUGUUUUAAGUUUGGUGUGAAAUCUCCCGGCUCAACCGGGAGGGUGCGCCGAAUACUGAAUGACUAGAGUGUGGGAGAGGUGAGUGGAAUUCCUGGUGUAGCGGUGAAAUGCGUAGAUAUCAGGAGGAACACCGGUGGUGUAGACGGCUCACUGGACCAUAACUGACGCUGAGACACGAAAGCGUGGGUAGCAAACAGG
rnacentral:rRNA from 1 species